rnacentral:rRNA from 1 species
UACGAAGGGGCAAGCGUUGUUCGGAAUUACUGGGCGUAAAGGGCGCGUAGGCGGUGCACUAAGUCAGGCGUGAAAGCCCUGGGCUCAACCCGGGAAUUGCGCUUGAUACUGGUGCGCUUGAAUCCAGGAGAGGUUGGUGGAAUUCCCAGUGUAGAGGUGAAAUUCGUAGAGAUUGGGAAGAACACCGGUGGCGAAGGCGGCCAACUGGACUGGUAUUGACGCUGAGGCGCGAAGCGUUGGGAGCAAACAGG